rnacentral:rRNA from 1 species
GAUGAACGCUGGCGGCGUGCCUAACACAUGCAAGUCGAACGGACAUUUUUUGGAAGUUCUUCGGAACUGGAAUCUAAAUGUUAGUGGCGGACGGGUGAGUAACGCGUGAGCAAUCUGCCUUUCAGAGGGGGAUAACAGCCGGAAACGGCUGCUAAUACCGCAUAAUGCAUCGAAUUCGCAUGUUUUUGAUGCCAAAAGAUUUUAUCGCUGAAAGAUGAGCUCGCGUCUGAUUAGCUAGUUGGCGGGGUAACGGCCCACCAAGGCAAUGAUGGGUAGCCGGCCUGAGAGGGUGAACGGCCACAAGGGGACUGAGACACGGCCCUU